AACGAACGCUGGCGGCAGGCUUAACACAUGCAAGUCGAACGCGUGUAGCAAUACACGAGUGGCGCACGGGUGAGUAACGCGUGGAUAUCUGCCUUUUAGUUCGGAAUAACCCCGGGAAACUGGGGCUAAUACCGGAUGGUUCCUUCGGGGUAACGAUUUAUCGCCAAAAGAUGAGUCCGCGUCCGAUUAGCUAGUUGGUGAGGUAAUGGCUCACCAAGGCGACGAUCGGUAGCUGGUCUGAGAGGACGAUCAGCCACACUGGGACUGAGACACGGCCCAGACUCCUACGGGAGGCAGCAGUGGGGAAUAUUGGACAAUGGGGGCAACCCUGAUCCAGCCAUGCCGCGUGAGUGAUGAAGGCCUUCGGGUUGUAAAGCUCUUUUGGCGGGGACGAUGAUGACGGUACCCGCAGAAUAAGCCCCGGCUAACUUCGUGCCAGCAGCCGCCGUAAUAC
rnacentral:rRNA from 1 species